rnacentral:rRNA from 1 species
CCAAUAGCGUAUAUUAAAGUUGUUGCAGUUAAAAAGCUCGUAGUUGAAUUUCGGGAUCAAUAUGUUGGUCGUGCCUUGGUACGUACUAUCUUAUCGAUUUCUCCCUUCUGACGAACCAUGAUGUCAUUAAUUUGAUGUCAUGGGGAAUCAGGACUGUUACUUUGAAAAAAUUAGAGUGUUUAAAGCAGGCUCACGCUUGAAUAUAUUAGCAUGGAAUAAUGAAAUAGGACGUUUGAUUCUAUUUUGUUGGUUUCUAGGAUCGACGUAAUGAUUAAUAGGGAUAGUUGGGGGCAUUAGUAUUCAAUUGUCAGAGGUGAAAUUCUUGGAUUUAUUGAAGACUAACUACUGCGAAAGCAUUUGCCAAGGAUGUUUUCAUUAAUCAAGAACGAAAGUUAGGGGAUCGAAGACGAUCAGAUACCGUCGUAGUCUUAACCAUAAACUAUGCCGACUAGGGAUCGGAUGGUGUUAAUUUUUUAAUGACUCAUUCGGCGCCUUACG